AGAGAGAGAGAGAGAGAGAGAGAGAGAGAGAGAGAGAGAGAGAGCAGCAAGCAAUCGUUAUAAAUCUUCAACUCUAAAGCAACCUCUAAGACGUUUACGAUCUGUUAGAUAAUAUUAGAUCAACGAUGGUAUCCAUCUAACAAAACGAUUGUCAAUCAUCGAAGCUAAAUCGAUUUACCAAAAUUUUCCUCGCAACGAAUCUUUGAUAUUAUUAUUUUAUAUCCCGAUGAUAUACAAUCGUAUAUCUUUCUCUCUAUUUUUUUUCUCUCUAAAGAAAAAUUUGAUUAGGGGACUCCAUCAUCUCUUUCGCUUUCUUCUUCUUGUCACGCUAUUCCCCUUACAUAGCAAUUAAUUCGUUAUUACCGCAUUGCCGGGUUGUAAGUCACGGAAAGUAAUUACAACGCUUGGUAAUUCCUGCACCGUUAAGUUACGCAGCUGGGAUAAUGGGACAUAGUUUUUUCCUUCAACACAAUUUCAGUAGAUCUAACUCAUUUUCAUUUUACCAUCGUGCUCGUUGUUAAUAUCUUAUUAUUAAUUCUUUGAGAAAAAAUAAUAAUAGAAAAAGAAAAAAGUAAUUAUCCUCUUAUCGAUAAUACGAAAUCGAAUUGAUUAGUGUUAAUGAAAAAAUGAUCGAUGAGAUCGAUACGGACGAUUCAAAUUUCAAGGAAACUCGUUGCUGAUACGAGUUUAAUCGAGAGAAACUAGAUACUCUUUAGCCAGCAUGCAUUAGCAGCUGUUUUCUCAGUGAUCGGUACCUAAGUAGCAGGGAAAUACACGGUUCGAUCGAUUCUAUGGAUCGUUGCCAAAACAAAUAAAGCCAAAUACUUAGAUGUUUUCGUUCGAUGGAUGAAGAUGAUGAUGUUGGGAAGACUUACCUCCAAAUGUGUGGGGAAAAUCCAGGACACACGUCUCCACACUGUAAACAUGGCUGCCCCUCCUCGACGUCCGUGAUCAGGACACCCUAACACAAGAUUCGUUCGUUAAUUUUCAUAUUAUUCAUCUUCGUUUUUCAUAUAUAAUGUUUGUUUACGUUAUCUCAACAAAUAAUGAGUAAUUUGUUAAAUAUAGAAAAAAUUAUAGCUUAUUCCAUGCGACCUAACAACAUCCAUUACAUUCCAAUUUUCGUAUUAUUUAUUUUUACUUUUUGUACAUAAUUUUUGUUUACGUAAUCUCGACAAAUGUGAAUAACUUGCUAAAUAUAGAAGAAAGUACAGCUUAUUCCAUGUGACCUCCUAACAAGAUUCAUUAACCAAUUUUCAUAGUAUUUAUUUUUACUUUUUGUAUAUAAUUUUUGUUUACGUAAUCUCGAUAAAUGUGAAUAACUUGUUAAAUAUA